rnacentral:rRNA from 1 species
AGAAGACCCCAUGGAGCUUUAAACCCAAUUAUAUUCCUAGCCACUAUAACCAUUCAAUCUCUUAGGCCCUAUAUACUUGGUUUUAGGUUGGGGCGACCACGGAGUAAAACCAAACCUCCAUGAUGUACGGAACAACCUCCUCAUCUAAGAGCUACAGCUCUAAGAAUUAGCACACUAUCAUAAAAUGACCCAUUAUUGAUCAACGAACCAAGUUACCCUGGGGAUAACAGCGCAAUCCAUUUUAAGAGCCCCUAUCGACAA